rnacentral:rRNA from 1 species
GACGAACCGUACGAACGUUGUUCGGAAUCACUGGGCUUAAAGGGCGCGUAGGCUGCGCAGCAAGUUGGGUGUGAAAUCCCUCGGCUUAACCGAGGAACUGCGCCCAAAACUGCUGUGCUCGAGGGAGAUAGAGGUGAGCGGAACUUAGGGUGGAGCGGUGAAAUGCGUUGAUAUCCUAAGGAACACCGGUGGCGAAAGCGGCUCACUGGAUCUCUUCUGACGCUGAGGCGCGAAAGCUAGGGUAGCGAACGGG